AGUAUCAUUAAGUGAAUACAUAGCUUAAUGAGGGGAACUCAGGGAACUGAAACAUCUAAGUACCUGAAGGAAGAGAAAGAAAUUCGAUUCCGUAAGUAGCGGCGAGCGAACGCGGAUUAGCCCAAACCAAUAAAGUUUUCUUUAUUGGGGUUGAGGACAUACCACAUAUAAGAGGUCAUUAUAGACGAAGAAGUUUGGAAAAACUCAUCAUAGAAGGUAAUAAUCCUGUAGUCAAAAUAAUAAUUCUUUAGGUAUGAUCCAGAGUACCACGGGACACGUGAAACCCUGUGGGAAGCAGGAGGGACCACCCUCCAAGGCUAAAUACUACCUAGUGACCGAUAGCGUAUAGUACCGUGAGGGAAAGGUGAAAAGAACCCCGGGAGGGGAGUGAAAUAGAACCUGAAACCCUGCACUUACAAGCUGUGGAAGCACAUUUCUUGUGUGACCGCGUACUUUUUGUAGAACGGGCCAACGAGUUACGUUAAGUAGCAAGGUUAAGCACUUAAGGUGCGGAGCCGUAGCGAAAGCGAGUUUUAACUGAGCGUUCAGUUACUUGACGUAGACCCGAAACCGGGCGACCUACCCAUGAGCAGGAUGAAGCGAAAGUAAAAUUUCGUG
rnacentral:rRNA from 1 species